rnacentral:rRNA from 1 species
UACGUAGGGGGCAAGCGUUGUCCGGAAUCAUUGGGCGUAAAGCGCGCGUAGGCGGCCCGGUAAGUCCGCUGUGAAAGUCCAGGGCUCAACCCUGGAACGCCGGUGGAUACUGUCGGGCUAGAGUCCGGAAGAGGCGAGUGGAAUUCCUGGUGUAGCGGUGGAAUGCGCAGAUAUCAGGAGGAACACCGAUGGCGAAGGCAGCUCGCUGGGACGGUACUGACGCUGAGGAGCGAAAGCGUGGGGAGCGAACAGG